GAUCCCUCCCUCUGGAGUUUUCUGCUGUGAGCCUAGGACACGGCUUGCAGAUCUGAAUGGCUUGUUUUGAAGUCACAAAGCUUCUCCGUAUUCUGUGAGGAGCUAUGAACAUAAUUCCUCUGUGAAACUAUGCAGAUUGCUGAAGUGCUGUAAUCUUUCAGAAAACAGUGAAAUUUUGCUUUGGAAGUUCACUCCUGUUUGCUUGUAAGUUGCCAGUUCCAAAAAGACUUCAGUGUGCAUGUGCCCUCAUCAUCCUUUCAUCCCACCAGAUGGAAUGUGUUUGGGAUUUACAGCUGCUAAUUGGAUAAUUAUUGCAUUGUGAAGCUGCAGAGAAGGGUUAAUCCAAGACUUAUAAAAGAGAAAACAAAGAAAUCAGAGGGAAACCAUUUUUCUUUGUUUGUCAUCUCCUUCCUUUGUAGUAUCACUAUCUAAAAAAAGUUUUUCCAAGAGUAAAGCAAGCAGCUUUGCAAGCUCCUUGAUUCUUAAGGAUAGCAAUUAGGUUUUUUUUCUUGAGUACUGUCAUGAGUAUAAUUACACUGUCAAGAGUUCACGUAUGUUCCUCCUGUUGCCAUGUGGUUCUGUUUCAGCUAUCUGAUUUUCACCUCUUAUGGGAUCUGCAACCCUUUUACAGUUGUAACGUUGCUACCAGCCCCAAAUAGUUGUGGUGUCCAACCCAUGGCUGCACAAACACCUGCCCACCACUGCCACUUUGUGCCAAAUGGAUGAACGCAACAGUCCUGUUCCCCAGAGGCUCCUGGCUUCUGCUUUGUAACAGGUGGUGGCACAGCGGGAUCUGAGCCAAGGAAUGUCACCAGAAAUUGAAAGUGGGAGAGGGAAGGGAGAAGAAGCUAUGUCAGAUUGUAAAGCAAAGAAAUAAAUACAUAGAUAAAACAUG
ensembl:lncRNA